UUGUGGAAACCUAUUGGGAACCCCUUGGGAUCCAUCUAGCAGCACAAAAUUUAAUCUUGCUACUAUUGAGAAAGAAUAUAAAUACAACCAUUAGUCAUCUGUAUCCUCUUUUGUGUUGAAUCCCUCAAACAUUUCAUUGUCCGCACCUGCUAAAAUCAAGUGGAUCUGGCUUCCAUUGAUUAUAAGUGGAGUAACGAGUCUCCUGAUUGCAUCCAGUGCCCCCUCGCUGAAUCUUAGGCAGGUUUUUCUGCCCAGUUCUAAGAGCUUUUUAACGGAAAUGACUGCUACAUAUAUAAAAGGAACAGGAACAUUAUGCAAGCCCUGAUGAAGCACACAUAGUGCGAAACUAGUUGGCAAACUCGCAUGAAUUUUCCUCCAAAUAACCUGUCUUCCCUUUACCUUGUU